GAGCACUGUUUGGACUAGGGGCCCUUCUCGGGUUACCGAAUUCAGAUAAACUCCGAAUGCCAUGUACUUAUACUCGGGAGUCAGACUGCGAGUGAUAAGAUCCGUAGUCGAAAGGGAAACAGCCCAGACCACCAGUUAAGGUCCCCAAAUAUAUGUUAAGUGGAAAAGGAUGUGGGGUUGCUUAGACAACCAGGAUGUUGGCUUAGAAGCAGCCACCAUUGAAAGAGUGCGUAAUAGCUCACUGGUCGAGUGACCCCGCGCCGAAAAUGUACCGGGGCUAAACAUAUUACCGAAACUGUGGAUGAACCUCUUUAGAGGUUCGUGGUAGGAGAGCGUUCUAAGGGCGGUGAAGUCAGACCGGAAGGACUGGUGGAGCGCUUAGAAGUGAGAAUGCCGGUAUGAGUAGCGAAAGAAGGGUGAGAAUCCCUUCCACCGAAUAUCUAAGGUUUCCUGAGGAAGGCUCGUCCGCUCAGGGUUAGUCGGGACCUAAGCCGAGGCCGAUAGGCGUAGGCGAUGGACAACAGGUAGAGAUUCCUGUACCAGUGCUAAUUGUUUAACCGAUGGGGUGACACAGAAGGAUAGGGAAUCGCACGAAUGGAAAUGUGCGUCCAAGCAGUGAGUGUGAGAAGUAG
rnacentral:rRNA from 1 species